GACGAACGCUGGCGGCGUGCCUAAUACAUGCAAGUCAAACGAAGCUGUUUUAACUGGUGCUUGCACCGACUUAAACAACUGAGUGGCGAACGGGUGAGUAACACGUGGGUAACCUGCCCCAAAGCGGGGGAUAACAUUUGGAAACAGAUGCUAAUACCGCAUAAUCACAGAAACCACAUGGUUUCUGUGUCAAAGAUGGUUUCGGCUAUCACUUUGGGAUGGACCCGCGGCGUAUUAGCUAGUUGGUAAGGUAAUGGCUUACCAAGGCAAUGAUACGUAGCCGAACUGAGAGGUUGAUCGGCCACAUUGGGACUGAGACACGGCCCAAACUCCUACGGGAGGCAGCAGUAGGGAAUCUUCCACAAUGGACGAAAGUCUGAUGGAGCAACGCCGCGUGAGUGAAGAAGGUUUUCGGAUCGUAAAACUCUGUUGUCGGAGAAGAACGUGUGCGAGAGUAACUGUUCGUGCAGUGACGGUAUCUGGCCAGAAAGCCACGGCUAACUACGUGCAGCCGCCGCAGUAA
rnacentral:rRNA from 1 species